CCGUGUUCGGUGGGGAAAAAGGACAGAGCCCUUCCACGUUUUCCCGGCGUCUAUAGAGUUAAAAUGGCAGCCAUCGAGCAGGGCUAGUUUGGGGCUGACAGGAUCGGAUUAAAGAGCAUGCCUUUGGAAUAUGCAGAGAGCUACAGAGCAUUUUUUUCAGUGUUCAAGCUUGAAGCAAAGCAGAAUGUGUUGGAUACAGAAGCAGAGGCAUCUGUAGAAAAUCCAGGAAAUAUGUUAAUAGGGAAUUAACUUAUGCAUUUCUGACCAUCUCCAAGAUGCUGUAAUCCUUAAGUCCCUCUAGCUACUUACAAAUUGUAUUUUGGAAUGGAGCCUGAAAACUGAGGGGGUCUUCCACAUUCAGAAACAAAGCAAUGGUUGAAAAAAUGGAACUGACAGCAACUAAGAAGCUCAAAUUUCCACAUCUUCCUUCCUUGACAUGCUUUGAGGGUGCUAAGAUACUUCAAGAGAUACGGUAUGUGACAAACAGAAGUCUAAGCUACCUGCUAUUUGUUGCUAGUGCUGAUAAUUCCAUC